rnacentral:misc_RNA from 1 species
UUGGGGUAUACCUGUUCGAGCGCCGUUAUGUGUCUAAGGCAUUGCCUUGCGUUGAUGCUGCCCCGGUAGGGGCUCGUCGAAACACAUCGGCGCCUCCUCUCGCCCGAAUCGCAGCGAGUAUGCGAUGAAGGUGGAUAGGGGGCAGCCAGUCUCUCCGAAAGCAUGGCCUCGGAUCAGGUAGGGAUACCCGCUGAACUUAA